UGCUUCAGCUGAAUGUCACAGACGACGCCAUUUGCAAUGAGCUGCUUCGAACCAUACCAAAUAAUAAAAUUCCCAAAGGUGAUUCUGAAGCGGUGACGAUUCUGACGAUUAUGAGAUCAAGUUUGUUUCCAACUGAAUAUGCCUCGCUGGAACCAAGCACUUACUUCUCAGAAUGCUAGAUGUAUUCCAAAUCAACUUUCAAGUUUUAAAUUUAACUUAAAUGUUAAUA